UUAAAAAGAACAUUUAAUUUAAACAGUUUAUAUGUGAAUUCCAUAAAAUAAGGCAUUUUGUUGUAUUAAUUUGUGUUUGAAGUCUUCCCUCCUGUGGCCGAUAAUGGUACUGCAAAUGUAGUAUUUUGUCCCUCUUCUCUUUCCGUAUCGCAGCAGAUUUGAGUGUUACUGCUGCGGGUAUGCACGAUUUUUCAUGCUCUGUCUCAUUAACGUAUUAACUGUGAAGAUAAUAUGUUUUAAGCGAAUGUUUUCGACGCAAUUGAUUGCAUUUAUGUAUUUGAACAUGUUUAUAAUACAUUUGACACUUUAACACUGUUGUUGAAAUAGUUGUACAUGUAUUGAAUUUCCUCCUGCGUCACACGAGUAGGAAAGAGCUCAUUUUAUGUGGUCAUUGUGUCUGUCUUAAGCCUUCUGACAGUUAAUUGUAUUAUGAGUUGAGGGUGUAAUUUCUAUUUUUCUAGUUUUUCCAUGAAUAUCUGCAGUAUUGUCUUCAGCCAAUGUGAUUUAUUCUAAUCUUUUCCCAAAAAGGUAUGUUGCUUUCUUGUUUAUUUCGUUAUAAAUGUUAACUGAUCGUAUUUAGCAAAUUGUUUUCUUGUUAUUAAUUAUAAGUUUCCACAUGUAAUAUGAGUUCAGCUGUAAAGAGCAGAUUUGAGUGUUACUGCUGCGGUUUUUCCAUGAAUAUCUGCAGUAUUGUCUUCAGCCAAUGUGAUUUAUUCUAAUCUUUUCCCAAAAAGGUAUGUUGCUUUCUUGUUUAUUUCGUUAUAAAUGUUAACUGAUCGUAUUUAGCAAAUUGUUUUCUUGUUAUUAAUUAUAAGUUUCCACAUGUAAUAUGAGUUCAGCUGUAAAGAGCAGAUUUGAGUGUUACUGCUGCGGGUAUGCACGAUUUUUCAUGCUCUGUCUCAUUAACGUAUUAACUGUGAAGAUAAUAUGUUUUAAGCGAAUGUUUUCGACGCAAUUGAUUGCAUUUAUGUAUUUGAACAUGUUUAUAAUACAUUUGACACUUUAACACUGUUGUUGAAAUAGUUGUACAUGUAUUGAAUUUCCUCCUGCGUCACACGAGUAGGAAAGAGCUCAUUUUAUGUGGUCAUUGUGUCUGUCUUAAGCCUUCUGACAGUUAAUUGUAUUAUGAGUUGAGGGUGUAAUUUCUAUUUUUCUAGUUUUUCCAUGAAUAUCUGCAGUAUUGUCUUCAGCCAAUGUGAUUUAUUCUAAUCUUUUCCCAAAAAGGUAUGUUGCUUUCUUGUUUAUUUCGUUAUAAAUGUUAACUGAUCGUAUUUAGCAAAUUGUUUUCUUGUUAUUAAUUAUAAGUUUCCACAUGUAAUAUGAGUUCAGCUGUAAAGAGCAGAUUUGAGUGUUACUGCUGCGGUUUUUCCAUGAAUAUCUGCAGUAUUGUCUUCAGCCAAUGUGAUUUAUUCUAAUCUUUUCCCAAAAAGGUAUGUUGCUUUCUUGUUUAUUUCGUUAUAAAUGUUAACUGAUCGUAUUUAGCAAAUUGUUUUCUUGUUAUUAAUUAUAAGUUUCCACAUGUAAUAUGAGUUCAGCUGUAAAGAGCAGAUUUGAGUGUUACUGCUGCGGUUUUUCCAUGAAUAUCUGCAGUAUUGUCUUCAGCCAAUGUGAUUUAUUCUAAUCUUUUCCCAAAAAGGUAUGUUGCUUUCUUGUUUAUUUCGUUAUAAAUGUUAACUGAUCGUAUUUAGCAAAUUGUUUUCUUGUUAUUAAUUAUAAGUUUCCACAUGUAAUAUGAGUUCAGCUGUAAAGAGCAGAUUUGAGUGUUACUGCUGCGGUUUUUCCAUGAAUAUCUGCAGUAUUGUCUUCAGCCAAUGUGAUUUAUUCUAAUCUUUUCCCAAAAAGAUAAACCAAAGCUGAAGAAACCCUGUGUGUG